GAUGAACGCUGGCGGCGUGCCUAAUGCAUGCAAGUCGAGCGAACGGACGAGAAGCUUGCUUCUCUGAUGUUAGCGGCGGACGGGUGGGUAACACGUGGAUAACCUACCUAUAAGACUGGGAUAACUUCGGGAAACCGUAGCUAAUACCGGAUAAUAUUUUGAACCGCAUGGUUCAAAAGUGAAAGACGGUCUUGCUGUCACUUAUAGAUGGAUCCGCGCUGCAUUAGCUAGUUGGUAAGGUAACGGCUUACCAAGGCAACGAUGCAUAGCCGACCUGAGAGGGUGAUCGGCCACACUGGAACUGAGACACGGUCCAGACUCCUACGGGAGGCAGCAGUAGGGAAUCUUCCGCAAUGGGCGAAAGCCUGACGGAGCAACGCCGCGUGAGUGAUGAAGGUCUUCGGAUCGUAAAACUCUGUUAUUAGGGAAGAACAUAUGUGUAAGUAACUGUGCACAUCUUGACGGUACCUAAUCAGAAAGCCACGGCUAACUACGUG
rnacentral:rRNA from 1 species